AAUAAAAGUCCUAUUUUGUAAACAAAUAUGGCGGAAUGGGUAACUAUAGACUACUAAGUGCUGUGAUGUAUGUUGAUAAAUGUCGAUGUCGGUAAAUUCACGUUUAUACUAGGAAAUCCAUGUAAUAUUAUCUGAUAAUCUUUUCUUUAUAUUUUCCUGUAAUUUUUAGAAACAAAUAGUUUUUUGAUAAACUGAACGAUAUAAGACUAGCAAAAUUAGCAGGGCGCAGCCCGCAUGCGCGUUUCAAAUUAGAUUUCCGAAAUAAUUACUAAAGUACUUUU